UACGUAGGGGCCUAGCGUUGUCCGGAUUUACUGGGCGUAAAGGGCGCGUAGGCGGCCAGUGCAAGUCAGUUGUGAAAUCUCCGAGCUUAACUCGGAAAGGUCAACUGAUACUGCUCGGCUAGAGUGCGGAAGGGGCAACUGGAAUUCUUGGUGUAGCGGUGAAAUGCGUAGAUAUCAAGAGGAACACCUGCGGCGAAGGCGGGUUGCUGGGCCGACACUGACGCUGAAGCGCGAAAGCUAGGGGAGCGAACGGG
rnacentral:rRNA from 1 species